rnacentral:misc_RNA from 1 species
AUUUUGAUCUGAGAUGAAGCGAGACAACCCCCUGAAUUUAAGCAUAUUAAUAAGGGGAGGAAAAGAAACUAACAAGGAUUCCCCCAGUAACGGCGAGUGAAGCGGGAAGAGCUCAAUUUGAAAAUCGAUUACCUAAACGGGUCAUCGAGUUGUAGCCUAUAGACGUACUAUCAGCUGAAACCUGGGUAUAAGUUCUUUGGAAUGAGGCAUCAUAGAGGGUGAGAAUCCCGUAUAUGACCCAAAGCUUUCAGCGUACGAUGUGCGUUCAUCGAGUCGAGUUGUUUGGGAUUGCAGCUCUAAAUGGGUGGUAAGUUUCAUCUAAAGCUAAAUAUAGGCGAGAGACCGAUAGCGAACAAGUACCGUGAGGGAAAGAUGAAAAGAACUUUGAAAAGAGAGUUAAAAGUACUUGAAAUUGCUAAGAGGGAAGCGCUAAAAACCAGUGAUACGCUAGGUCAAUCGUUCUUGGCCCCACUAGUUAGUCUGAGUAAUGGGCAACCUUGCUUUGGCUGACGAAAGGGUGGUUGGGGAUUUCUGAUUUAGUGUCAGUCAAGAUCAAUUCGGAUUGUGGGAGAAGGUAGCGAGGAAGGUAGGAGAGCAAUCUCUGUUAUAUCCUUGUUACUCUACCUCGGCCUGGAUUGAGGAAGUAAUAGUGCGCUGCUUGCGGCUUGGUCCUGCGUUUCUAUUGCCCUACUUGCUCUCAUAGCAAUGCUAUGUCUGUGGGAAAAGGUAAUACUGGGCGUGGUGAUUCUAUGUGCUAUCACGAUCUUGUACGAAAUGGUUUUUAUCGACCCGUCUUGAAACACGGACCAAGGAGUCUAACAUCUAUGCAAGUAUUUGGGUGCAAAACCCUGAUGCGUAAUGAAAGUAAAGGCGGACUUGUUCCGCUGAGGUAGGAAUCCUGCAAGGGAGGCACUAUCGACCGAUCAUCACUUGUGAAAGAUUUGAGUAAGAGCAUAUCUGUUGGGACCCGAAAGAUGGUGAUCUAUGCCUGAACAGGGUGAAGCCAGGGGAAACUCUGGUGGAGGCUCGUAGCGAUACUGACGUGCAAAUCGUUCGUCUGAUUUGGGUAUAGGGGCGAAAGACUAAUCGAACCAUCUAGUAGCUGGUUCCCUC